rnacentral:rRNA from 1 species
GUACACGCUGUGACUAGCAUAUCAAUAAGCGGAGGAAAAGAAACUAACAAGGAUUCCCCUAGUAACGGCGAGUGAAGCGGGAAGAGCUCAAAUUUGAAAUCUUAAAGGGUUUCCCUUUACGAAUUGUAGUUUAAAGAAGUGUUUUCUGUUGAGGUUUUGGUAAAAGUUCCUUGGAAUAGGACAUCAUAGAGGGUGAGAAUCCCGUAUUUGACCUUUACUUUCAACUUUGUGAUACACUUUCAAAGAGUCGGAUUGUUUGGGAAUGCAGUCCAAAAUGGGUGGUAAAUUUCAUCUAAAGCUAAAUAUUGGCGAGAGACCGAUAGCGAACAAGUACCGUGAGGGAAAGAUGAAAAGAACUUUGAAAAGAGAGUUAAACAGUACGUGAAAUUGUCAAAAGGGAAGCGUUUGACACCAGUGUUGUUUUUCUGAAAAUCAAUUAAAGAACUGUUUAUGCUAAGCUGUUUAGACUUUAUCAGCUAACUGUUUAGUUUUGAGCUUUUCUUUAAUGCACUUUUCAGUUAACAAGUCAACAUCAAUUUCUUUUGCUGUAAAAAAGCUUGAGGAAGGUGGCUUGAGAUUCGUCUUAAGUGUUUAUAGCCUCUUGCCUAUGCAGUCGGAGAGAUUGAGGUCUGCAGCGUAGAUCCUUCGGGGCUAAAUGCAUUUGUGCUAAGUUAUAGCAUUUUAUAGACAACUUGUUGACUAUGAUUUGUCUUGUAGCUUACUCGCUUAUGUUAUUUUACCUACGCUUAGGAUGUUGAAGAUGUAGCACAUCAU